GCUUCGUGUCGCCGCCUGCCCGGGAGCCCGCGCGCGUGUCGGGAGCGCCGCCCUCCCGGGCCCGGCCUCGCCUGUGAGCGGGCGGGGGACCCCAGCGGGGCGGGAGGCUGGGGUGAAGGCCCGGCCCCACGAGAAACUGCAGGUGUUCAGCCCCUGCCUGCGGGAGGGGGAAUCGCCAACCUCAGAGGUUGUGAAGACCCGGCUAGACAAAGCCCUGGCGGGGGUGAUAGGGCUGGGGAUGGCCCUGUUGUCAGCAGCGGUUGGACUAGAGCAGCGGGUGUCAACCUUUUUUGUACUAGGACCCUUUUGUAAAUUUAAUGUCCGGUCCCUCGCUCCCAAUCUGUUGCCCCUGCUGUGAGGGUCACGGGGGCCCAAGCAGCCCCUGGCAGGCUGGAGCUCUGCCAGCCAGCAAGGGGGAACCCAGUUUCCCGUGUUUUUCUCCUUCAAAGGAUCCAUUUUUUAAGUUUGUUCACAACCCUUGCAUAUAUUCUCACGACCCACUUUUGGGUUAGGUUGAGAAACGAUGGACUAGACCUACUGACGUCAUUGCUAGCCCUCAUUUUCUGUGAAGGCAAAGGCAGGCCCCCACCCUUUAGGCCUGAACCGUUUGUCAGUGGCGGUUGUGGCACCCAAGGGUUGAGAACACAGUGCAGAAGUGCUGGUUCCCACUCCCAUUUCUGACACGGAUCAGCCCUGUUUUGGUGAGAAACUGCCAGCUGUAAGGCACAACUGUGCUGGAUGCUCUUGGUUUGGUCCUUGGAAGUCUUGUUUUUGACACAAGCGUGUCUACUCAGGAAGGCACUUCAUUGGAACGGAUGGCCAGCUGUGCUCCAGGCCCUCAGCCCAUCAUAAAUACCCCGCCUUGCCAUUGUUGGUGCUCAAGUCCCAGAACUGUUAAAGCCAGCACUGUAAAGACAUAGGGAAGCUGGUAUAACACUCAGAGCAUGAGCCUGAGGCAAGUAACUGAGCCUAGAGGGUUAAGGCAACACAGUGAAGUCAGUAUAAACCAGUCUAGGAGCCCCAGCAGAUAAAUAAAUCAUUCUGACUACCUUAUCAUCACUGCUUGCUUGUGCCUCAUUGUAGCUUCCUCUUUUCUCACCUGAAUCUCUUUCAUCUUUCUCCUCAUUCAAGUGAAACAAUCAAAAAAUAAAUGCUAACAGUAAUUGGCUCCUGCCCAUUUUGAAUGCCAGCAAAAAAUAUUACCUUACCCCACAUACCUGGAGGUCAUUUGAGAAAUCAGAACAAUGAAACACAAAUCUUGCAGAGUAGUUGAUCAAGAAUCUUUCUUGACUUUCUUCCCAGAAGAAAAUAAAAUCUCUAACCACAUACACCAGAAGAAAUUCUCUCACUGCAACUCAGUAUCCUCAGCUGCACUGAUGCAUUGUGGCUUAGCUAGACUUCCCCAGACACUUGAAAAUUUCAUUUCUGAAUACAGCUUUAUGAGACUGACAGAUGUGUUCUGCACACUUCUGUCAUGGCUCUUAGGAAGACAAAAUUAGCUUUGGUAGAGCCAAGAAAGGGUGAGCUUCUGGUUAAGGCACAAGGGUCUCAUUCAUUUCUGGAUCUGCCACAGAUUUCUUGUGUGACCUUGAGAAGGUCAGCCAGUCCUGCUGGGCUUCUGUUUUCUAUUCAUAAAAUGGGAAUAAUUAUAUUUCCACAUCUUAAAGGGAUGAUGAGACUUAAUUCUUGUGAGGUGCUUGGAUACUGUAGUGAGGGAGGCCGUAAGAUUGGAUACAUUUUUCACAAACAGACAAAAUAUUAGGCUGUCACUGUUACAGUUAUUGCAGUGUUAACAUUCAUUCUACAGUUGCAUCCCAGAACAAUGUAAAAGUAUGCAACAAAAAAAGGUGGAAAUAAAAAGUUAAUUUCCACAGCUACUUCUCUGAGAGGUUUUCAAAAUGCUUCAGAAAUUAAUUUUCAGAACUAGAGUGUUCUCUACUAUUUUCCCGACAGACUUGAUUUCACAAAAGAUUUUGUAAGACAUUCCUCUUUCCAAAGGUUAGCAUUUCUGAUAGGGUAACAAAAACAUAUCGUCUCAUUUAGGUCACAAACCUUAAAUUCUCCAUGCACAAAGGCAUACUUCUACAAACAUUAACAGUUAGGAAAAAUGACUAUCAAGAGAAUACACAUUGGUCUGCAGACAGUUUUGACAAAUUGAUUGGUUGUAGUAAAUUAACUUUGUGUACAACACUAUUAGGGUCUAGGUGUCACACCUUUUUACAAAUGGAGAAAGUGUUGUGCAGAGAAGUCAGAUGAAUUUCCAAGGUUCCCACAGCUGUAUCAGCAUUUCCACAUGCAUUUAAACACCUGGAAUGCUUGUACAACAUUUGGGCCAAAAAUUAUUAAAGUGAUCAGUGAUUCUAGGGACCUCAGUUUAUGGGUACCCAGCUUAGUAUUUCAUAAGAACUGGAGGACUUGCUGGAUAAUUACUGGAGGGCUUACUGGAUAAUUGAUUUUCCAGUAAUUUCUCCAAAUUGGGAACACAGAGAGCAGAGAACCCUGCUCUAGAAUGGUCCAAGAAGGAACUUUCUAAGACCCUGGGUACAAAGCAAACCAGUGCAGACAUAUUUUUUUUAAGUUCUUGCUGCUACUGAGAAAAUUGAAACUGGGCCACAACACAAAUAAGUGUGAACAAGACUUUGUUGAACUUGGUGCAACUGUAAGUAUUAGGACAGUUUGUGAAACGUCAGGAGCAUUUUUGCUUGUGGACAUCGAGCUAAAAUUUGCCUAAAGAGGCUACGAAUUUUCAGACGUUCCCCAACCAACUACAUUAAAUUCAAAGUCUUGUAAAUGUUUUGCCUACACUGAUUCACAUAGUGCACAGAGGAAGCAGUGACAUUCAUUUUAUGCCAGUUCAGUUGAUUUUCUCAACUCAGUCCAACAUAUUCUUGCCUGCUAUUCAAACAUCAUUCUAGACAAGAGUCCUUUUCUUUCUGUAAAGCUGGCUGAAGUUAUCUUUUAGAGUAAUUUUCCAAGAAGCCUCUAGCUACUUAUAAUUCCCUUGUUUCACCUUUGGAAAUUGGGUAUGCCUUUCACUACUAGCAUCCUCUGUAAAAAUAUUCAGCUUUUUAAUUUGACAUGGGAUAAUACCUUUCCACAAAACGUUUACAAUCAAUUAUCCAUUUUUUUAAAUUUGAAAUACAAAAUUAACUGAAGAAUUGAUUUCUAGAAUGUUUCCCCGAGCUCUAGUUUUGUUCUGUUUUGGUCCUUUAAUUUCCUGUACUUUACAUCUUCUUUGCUUUUCUUCUCUGUUUUUCUCCUCUGCUGGCUUCUCUGAUUCGAUGUUGUUUUUGGUAAAAAAUGUGCAUUGUUAUCCUUUUUAGCCCACACAAUUAACACAAACUUGUGGCUCUGUAGGUUCCUUCCACUGGGAAAAGAAGCAUGACUGAGUAAUCUUUGGUUUAAUAAUGUUUGUUUGCAAAGAAUGUACAAACUAGGCACAUCUACACGUGCAAUUGAUGCAACUGAAUAUACUCCUGUUCAGCUUGAGCUGGAGUUGGAGUAAACUAAUCCCAAUGUCACCGUCUACAUGUGUUUAAGCAUAGUAAUCUACUGCACUGCCAGACAUCACUUGUAUCUCAUGGGACUGUCUGGCAGUUCAGUAAAUUAAUCUACUGUGCCGUAUUUGCCAUGCACAUGUAGAUGGUGAUGCUUUACUGUGCAGCAAAUUAGUGGGGUGGGACACCAGGCCAUGAGAGGAGCCAGAGGCUACGAGAUGAGCCCCAACUGCCCUGGAGAGGGGAACAUGAAUUGCUGGGGAAAGCGGGCCCCACAGGGGAGGUGAUUUCUGGGGGAAGAGUACUCCACUGGGGAGCCAGCAAAUAAAGGCCCCAGUCCCAGCAUUGGCCCAAGAAGGAGGGCACUGGGCCCCUAUUGUUGCUAUUGAGAGUUUUGCUAGGGCCUGUGAUCUCUGGAGAAGGGGACCCUAGCUUCCAAUUUGUCUAUGCUUCCAGAAUAGGGUUGGUAUGCGCCUAAUGUUUUGGAGGUUGCUCUGUAUAUUGUCUAUACCAUUUCUAAACAAAUUUUUUAUUGUUAUGUUUUACCAUAUAUAUAUAUAUAUAUUCUUGUUUAGCUGCUACUUUCUCUGUGUGUGAACUUACCCUUCCACUGCCAUAUUCUAUUUACUGUCCCAUUGGAUUCCUGGUUAUUCACCUGCUGUGUUGAUUUACCUGCGCUUACCUAUUUCAGGAUCCAUCACUCCUCUGUGCCUGGGUUGACUAGAGGAGUCACCGUGCUUGUUGCUUAUAGGGUUCCCAUAUCGGGUUUUGUGCUGAGGGUGACACCCCAGUGGAAGCAUAUGUGUGUCUAUAACUAAAGCAGAGCAUGUGGAUAAAUCUUGGUAGAAUUCAGACACAAGCAGUUCCAUAAAGCAAAAAGUUGUCAGAAGGACCUCCUAUCAAGUUUUCACUUGUCCACAUGGAAUAACUGAAAAGAAAUGGGAAUGGAAAAGAUUGUGGAAUGGUGGAUUGUGGCCUGGACUGUCAGACCAAAUGAAGGAAGUCUGAAUCUCUUGCUGGACAUCCUAAGUCAUUGACAGCAGUGCAAAGUGGAUGUAAAAUGUAACCUGAUCACAGAGCCAAGAAGAUCCAAGAAGUGGAAAUUGCAGUAAGACAAACCCUGACUAGAAACGAAGAAUGCACUUGUAAAUAAGUUGUCUUUGCAAAAAAGAAGUAGAAGAUUCUCUUUCAUUUCAAAUCUGUAAAGACUAAAUUUUUCCCUAAAAUUAUGCUGUAGCUUAAUCAGAAGUUCUGGGUUUGACACUAGAAUUGCUUGGUAAAACUGCAUGGCCUGUAUAAGAAGGUUGUCAGAUUAGACUAUUAGAAUUAUUCUUUUUUUGCCUGAAUCUAUUCAUCUAUUUAUUUUGCAAGUAAAAACAGUCAGAGUGCCUUUCUUGCAUCAAGCUGAAGAAAGUAGUGGGCUUUAAAUGCAAAUAAUGCAGUCCAAGGGAAACUGAAUCUCUUCUCUCAAAUGUUAAUUUGGAGUUAUUGCAUUAGUCAUUGUAGUCGUGUAGCUGAUACUGGGUGUGUCUACAUAUAAAAUUAAUUUGAUGCAAUAAACUCUGGUGCAGUUCAUACCAGAGUUUAUUGCUCCUGGUCACAGCAUUUACACGUGCUCCCGGGACUACAGCAUGUUGACCUGAGGUGGAGAAGCUCCAGCUGGCAGGGGGCCCCAUGGGUCAGCUUGCUAGCCUGGGGCUGCUCCGACCCAUCUCAAUGUACUGUGGAGGGGCUGGCUGUGGCACAAGGGUGCUACAGUGUGGGGCUAGCUGGCAGGCAGCCCCACACGAUGGCACCCUCAUGCUCCAGUCAGCCUUGGUCAGUGUCUACACAUGUGUUCCAGUGGAGUAAAUAAGUCUGAUGUAGGUUAGUACUUGUGUUGGGUAGUACUAUUCUACAGUGGAGUUAAUUAGUUUACUCCAGCCUAGUAGCGGUGCACAUGUAGACGCUGAUACUUUACUGUGGAGCUAAAUAGCCAGCUCUGCAGUAAAUGUCUUGUGUAGAUGCACCCACUUAUGUAGGUGAAAAGAGAAUCAGAAUGAAUAAUAAUUUUCAAUAUGUGUUUAUUUGGCAGUUCAGCAAUUUAAAUCAAGCAUAGAGGUGAGUUGCUAUCUCUGAUUCACUAUGUUUGUCAUAGUGAUGACUCUGUAUACUGAUUGUUUCAAAUUUCCCUAUGCAAGUUUUUUUUCCCAUUGUAUCUUGUGUCUGUGCAUAAACAUCAAAGAUGCAAUAAGGAGUUAUAAGAUGGAUUUUGAAACUACAUAAAGCUGCCAAGUUCAAUAGUGUGUAUAUGAAUGUGACUCCUAUUGCUUCAUUUGAGGUUGUACUUCCUUUUUCUAUCGUCUACAAGCUCUCUGCUGUAAUAAAGCACAUCCAUGUAUAAGAGAUGAGGCUGUAAACUCCAUCACCUCCUUUUUGAAAGAAACCUAGCAUCUGAAGGCAAAUAAUGUUGGUA